rnacentral:ncRNA from 1 species
GGAAAUGCAUUACUGAGUAAAAUUUGAGUAAAAAUCUUGAAUGUACCAAAGCCAAAGCUCUUAUAAGGGAGCUUUUCCUUUUUCUUGUUGUUGGAAUACUCUUUCUACAAUACCCAACAUUAAUACCAGAGGAGAGAAAAUAACCAUUUUGAAAACAAAGUAAAUAAACUUAGAGAUGUUGGCAGGGGUCCUGGUAAGAGUUAAUUUUUUUUCCCUUAACAGCCUAAAACCCUGAAAGUUGUUUGUUCAAAACUAAGAUUUGAUGUUUAGUAGAGCUCAACAGCUCUGUUUGGUCUGGUGUAUUUUUGACAAUCCUUGAAAACUCAAGAGAAUGUGUUGAUUUUCACACCUGGUCAUACUCAUAACUGCCACAGGUCU